rnacentral:rRNA from 1 species
AACGAACGCUGGCGGCAUGCCUAACACAUGCAAGUCGAACGAGACCUUCGGGUCUAGUGGCGCACGGGUGCGUAACGCGUGGGAACCUGCCCUUAGGUUCGGAAUAACUCCCCGCAAGGGGUGCUAAUACCGGAUAAUGUCAUCGGACCAAAGAUUUUUCGCCUUGGGAUGGGCCCGCGUUGGAUUAGCUGGUUGGUAGGGUAAAAGCCUACCAAGGCGACGAUCCAUAGCUGGUCUGAGAGGAUGAUCAGCCACACUGGGACUGAGACACGGCCCAGACUCCUACGGGAGGCAGCAGUGGGGAAUAUUGGACAAUGGGCGAAAGCCUGAUCCAGCAAUGCCGCGUGAGUGAUGAAGGCCUUAGGGUUGUAAAGCUCUUUUACCCGGGAUGAUAAUGACAGUACCGGGAGAAUAAGCUCCGGCUAACUCCGUG